CCCUUAGAUGUCCUGGGCCGCACGCGCGUUACACUGAUGCAUUCAACGAGCAUAUAACCUUGGCCGAGAGGCCUGGGUAAUCUUGUUAACAUGCAUCGUGAUAGGGAUAGAUUAUUGCAAUUAUUAAUCUUGAACGAGGAAUUCCUAGUAAUCGCAGUUCAUCAAACUGCAAUGAUUACGUCCCUGCCCUUUGUACACACCGCCCGUCGCACCUACCGAUUGAAUGGUCCGGUGAGGACUCGGGAUUGUGGUUUAGCUCCUUCAUUGGGGCCUGACUGUGAGAACUUGUCCGAACCUUAUCAUUUAGAGGAAGGUGAAGUCGUAACA
rnacentral:rRNA from 1 species